rnacentral:tRNA from 1 species
GCGCCUGUGGCUUAUGGAGUAGGGCACCGGCCUCAUAUGCCGGAGGUGGUGGGUUCAAACCCAGCCCUGGCCA